AUGAAUCAUUUGGUGGCGAUUGGCGGCGUCGCGAUGCUUCUGUUCAUGCUCACACUCCAGCUGUUUGUCGAAAUUCCAAAGAAUAAAGCAUCCCCAAGGCAGCUUAUCAUGCUCACUUCACGGCUACAUUUGGCUGCUGUGCUCUUCAGUGGCUGCCUGGGUUUGGUUUAUCUUGGGCUAGGAAUCUGGGUGCUGGGAAAUAACUUCAAUCAGGAGAAGACUAUCACAAUUAAAGCUUGUUUGGAUGUUCUGUCCUUACCAGGUGCAAUUCUCCUCCUUCUCUAUGGCAUUCAGCACAGGGUUGUUGAAGAGGGUUAUGGAAGAACUGGAAAUGGUUUACACGAGCCCCUGAACAUGGCGGCAGGCAGUGAGGUAGCCGAUUCUGAGAGUCGGGUAACUACCUUUGCUAAAGCUGGGUUUUUCAGUGAGAUGUCAUUUUGGUGGCUGAAUCCUUUAAUGAAUAAGGGGUAUGAGAAGCCCCUUGAGGACAACGACGUGCCACUUUUAGGCGCCAUGGAUCUAGCACAGAACCAGUACUUGAUGUUCAUGGAGAAGCUGAACAGCAAGAAGAGAAAAAAAAUCACCAUCAACACAACACCAUGGAUCUUCUGGACUAUUGUUUCUUGUCACAAGCAUGCGCUCUUGGUCUCAGGUUUCUUUGCUUUGCUCAAGGUUCUCACCUUAUCUACUGGCCCAAUACUUCUCAAGGCAUUCAUCAAUUUAUCACUUGGGAAAGGGACCUUUAAAUAUGAAGGGUACGUGCUUGCUGCGAUGAUGUUUGUCUGCAAAUGCUGUGAAUCAUUGUCUCAUAGACAGUGGAAUUUCCGCAUUCGGAGAUUAGGACUGCAGGUGAGGUCAUUCCUGUCAACAGCUAUUUAUAAGAAACAACAGAAGCUAUCAAAUGCAGAAACAAUGAAUCACUCUUCUGGGGAAAUUAUGAACUAUGUGAAUGUCGAUGCCUAUCGGAUUGGGGAAUUCCCAUACUGGUUCCAUCAAACAUGGACAACAAGCGUUCAGCUUUGCAUUGCUCUAGCAAUUUUAUACAAAGCGGUUGGUGCUGCAACGCUUUCAUCGUUGGUUGUCAUCAUUAUCACCGUACUCUCCAAUGCUCCAUUGGCCAAACUGCAACACAAGUUUCAGAGUAAACUUAUGGAAACGCAAGAUUCAAGAUUGAAGGCCAUGUCUGAGUCACUAGUUCAUAUGAAGGACCCAGUUAGGUCAAUACCAGAUGUUAUUGGAGCUGUGAUACAAGCUAAGGUUGCUUUCACUCGGAUAUCAAAGUUCCUUGAUGCACAUGAGCUAAACGGACAAAUUAGGAAGAAAUACUGUGUUGGCAUUGACUACCCUAUAUCGAUGAAUUUGUGCAGUUUCUCAUGGGAUGAAAAUCCAUCAAAACCAACACUAAAGAAUAUAAAUUUGGUGGUCAAAGUUGGAGAAAAGGUUGCAAUUUGUGGAGAGGUAGGGUCAGGAAAGUCGACGCUUUUGGCUGCUAUACUUGGAGAGGUCCCCAAAACUAAAGGCACAAUCCAUGUCUUUGGGAAGAUAGCAUACGUUUCUCAGAAUGCAUGGAUCCAAACAAGGACUGUGCAAGACAAUAUUCUCUUUGGAUCUUCGAUGGACAGGCAAAGAUACCAAGACACACUCGCGCAGUGCUCAUUGGUCAAGGACCUUGAAAUGCUGCCAUAUGAAGAUUGUACUCAGAUUGGGGAGAGAAGAGCAAAUCUUAGUGGUGGUCAGAAACAGCGUGUCCAGCUUGCUCGUGCACUAUACCAAAAUCCAGACAUCUAUCUUCUUGAUGACCCUUUCAGUGUUGUUGAUGCCCAUACAGCAACAAGUCUCUUCAAUGUAAGGAUCAUAUAA
rnacentral:rRNA from 1 species